rnacentral:rRNA from 2 species
CUGCCCAGAAGCGGGGGAUAACACCUGGAAACAGAUGCUAAUACCGCAUAACAACUUGGACCGCAUGGUCCGAGCUUGAAAGAUGGCUUUGGCUAUCACUUUUGGAUGGUCCCGCGGCGUAUUAGCUAGAUGGUGGGGUAACGGCUCACCAUGGCAAUGAUACGUAGCCGACCUGAGAGGGUAAUCGGCCACAUUGGGACUGAGACACGGCCCAAACUCCUACGGGAGGCAGCAGUAGGGAAUCUUCCACAAUGGACGAAAGUCUGAUGGAGCAACGCCGCGUGAGUGAAGAAGGGUUUCGGCUCGUAAAACUCUGUUGUUAAAGAAGAACAUAUCUGAGAGUAACUGUUCAGGUAUUGACGGUAUUUAACCAGAAAGCCACGGCUAACUACGUGCCAGCAGCCGCGGUAAUACGUAGGUGGCAAGCGUUGUCCGGAUUUAUUGGGCGUAAAGCGAGCGCAGGCGGUUUUUUAAGUCUGAUGUGAAAGCCUUCGGCUCAACCGAAGAAGUGCAUCGGAAACUGGGAAACUUGAGUGCAGAAGAGGACAGUGGAACUCCAUGUGUAGCGGUGAAAUGCGUAGAUAUAUGGAAGAACACCAGUGGCGAAGGCGGCUGUCUGGUCUGUAACUGACGCUGAGGCUC